CACAUGCAAGUCGAGGGGCAGCAUGGUCUUAGCUUGCUAAGGCCGAUGGCGACCGGCGCACGGGUGAGUAACACGUAUCCAACCUGCCGUCUACUCUUGGACAGCCUUCUGAAAGGAAGAUUAAUACAAGAUGGCAUCAUGAGUCCGCAUGUUCACAUGAUUAAAGGUAUUCCGGUAGACGAUGGGGAUGCGUUCCAUUAGAUAGUAGGCGGGGUAACGGCCCACCUAGUCUUCGAUGGAUAGGGGUUCUGAGAGGAAGGUCCCCCACAUUGGAACUGAGACACGGUCCAAACUCCUACGGGAGGCAGCAGUGAGGAAUAUUGGUCAAUGGGCGCAGGCCUGAACCAGCCAAGUAGCGUGAAGGAUGACUGCCCUAUGGGUUGUAAACUUCUUUUAUAAAGGAAUAAAGUCGGGUAUGUAUACCCGUUUGCAUGUACUUUAUGAAUAAGGAUCGGCUAACUCCGUGCCAGCAGCCGCGGUAAUACGGAGGAUCCGAGCGUUAUCCGGAUUUAUUGGGUUUAAAGGGAGCGUAGAUGGAUGUUUAAGUCAGUUGUGAAAGUUUGCGGCUCAACCGUAAAAUUGCAGUUGAUACUGGAUAUCUUGAGUGCAGUUGAGGCAGGCGGAAUUCGUGGUGUAGCGGUGAAAUGCUUAGAUAUCACGAAGAACUCCGAUUGCGAAGGCAGCCUGCUAAGCUGCAACUGACAUUGAGGCUCGAAAGUGUGGGUAUCAAACAGGAUUAGAUACCCUGGUAGUCCACACGGUAAACGAUGAAUACUCGCUGUUUGCGAUAUACUGCAAGCGGCCAAGCGAAAGCGUUAAGUAUUCCACCUGGGG
rnacentral:rRNA from 1 species